GAUAAACGCUGGCGGCGUGCUUAACACAUGCAAGUCGAACGAAGUUUUUCCUUCGGGAGCAACUUAGUGGCGGACGGGUGAGUAACGCGUGGGUAACCUGCCCUGUACAGGGGGACAACAGCUGGAAACGGCUGCUAAUACCGCAUAAGCACUUAGCACUGCAUGGUGCAUAGGGAAAAGGAGCAAUCCGGUACAGGAUGGACCCGCGUCUGAUUAGCCAGUUGGAAGGGUAACGGCCUACCAAAGCGACGAUCAGUAGCCGAUCUGAGAGGAUGUACGGCCACAUUGGGACUGAGACACGGCCCAGACUCCUACGGGAGGCAGCAGUGGGGAAUAUUGCACAAUGGAGGAAACUCUGAUGCAGCGACGCCGCGUGAGUGAAGAAGUAUUUCGGUAUGUAAAGCUCUAUCAGCAGGGAAGAAAAUGACGGUACCUGACUAAGAAGCACCGGCUAAAUACGUG
rnacentral:rRNA from 1 species